rnacentral:rRNA from 1 species
CACCGCGGUUAUACGAGAGGCCCAAGUUGACAACCGCCGGCGUAAAGAGUGGUUAAGAUCCCCCUCCCCCUCCAUUAAAGUCGAAUAUCUUCAAGGCUGUUAUACGCACCCGGAGACUAGAAGCCCAACUACGAAAGUGACUUUAUCUUAUCUGAUGCCACAAAAGCUAGGGUA